GAUGAACGCUGGCGGCGUGCUUAACACAUGCAAGUCGAACGGAGUUGAUUUAAGGAAGCAAGCUUGCUUGAAGAAUUAAAUUAACUUAGUGGCGGACGGGCGAGUAACACGUGAGCAACCUGCCUCUUACAGGGGAAUAACAACGGGAAACCGUUGCUAAUACCGCAUGACAUGUUGAAAGGGCAUCCUUUUAACAUCAAAGGAGCAAUCCGGUAAGAGAUGGGCUCGCGUCCGAUUAGCUAGUUGGUAGGGUAACGGCCUACCAAGGCGACGAUCGGUAGCCGGACUGAGAGGUCGAACGGCCGCAUUGGGACUGAGACACGGCCCAGACUCCUACGGGAGGCAGCAGUGGGGAAUAUUGGGCAAUGGGCGAAAGCCUGACCCAGCAACGCCGCGUGAAUGAUGAAGGCCUUCGGGUUGUAAAAUUCUUUGGACAGGGACGAAGAAAGUGACG
rnacentral:rRNA from 1 species